CUGACAGUCUCGGGGAUGAGCUCCGGGGUGGACGGUGGGCCCGACGGCCCGGGCAGGGCCCCGGAGCUCCAGGUUACCACCAAAGAACAUCAUUUUGGUCUAGGGGCUCCAUUUUCUGAAGCUGAAAAAUAUCAGAAUACUCUCCAGCUAGAACAAGAAGUGAGAAACCAAGAUAGAUUCAUCUCUACACUGAAAUUACAGAUUGAAGAUCUCAAACA